rnacentral:tRNA from 1 species
GGGGUUGUGGCUCAGUGGUAGAGCGCUCCCCUAGCAUGGGUAAGGCGCUGAGUUCCAUCCUCAGCACCA